AAAUUGAAGAGUUUGAUCAUGGCUCAGAUUGAACGCUGGCGGCAGGCCUAACACAUGCAAGUCGAACGGUAACAGGAAGAAGCUUGCUUCUUUGCUGACGAGUGGCGGACGGGUGAGUAAUGUCUGGGAAACUGCCUGAUGGAGAGGGAUAACUACUGGAAACGGUAGCUAAUACCGCAUAACGUCGCAAGACCAAAGAGGGGGACCUUC
rnacentral:rRNA from 1 species